rnacentral:rRNA from 1 species
UACAUGGGGUGCAAACGUUGCUCGGAAUUAUUGGGCGUAAAGCGCACGUAGGCGGUUCGUUAAGUCGGAUGUGAAAGCCCUCGGCUCAACUGAGGAAGUGCACCCGAAACUGGCGAGCUUGAGUACGAAAGAGGAUCGCGGAAUUCCCGGUGUAGAGGUGAAAUUCGCAGAUAUCGGGAGGAACACCGGUGGCGAAGGCGGUUCUCUGGGCCUUACCUGACGCUGAGGAGCGAAAGCGUGGGGAGCGAACAGG